AUUGAACGCUGGCGGCAUGCUUUACACAUGCAAGUCGAACGGCAGCACAGAGAAGCUUGCUUCUUGGGUGGCGAGUGGCGAACGGGUGAGUAACAUAUCGGAACGUACCGAGUAAUGGGGGAUAACUAAUCCAAAGAUUAGCUAAUACCGCAUAUUCUCUGAGGAGGAAAGCAGGGGACCUUCGGGCCUUGCGUUAUUCGAGCGGCCGAUAUCUGAUUAGCUAGUUGGUGGGGUAAAGGCCUACCAAGGCGACGAUUAGUAGCGGGUCUGAGAGGAUGAUCCGCCACACUGGGACUGAGACACGGCCCAGACUCCUACGGGAGGCAGCAGUGGGGAAUUUUGGACAAUGGGCGCAAGCCUGAUCCAGCCAUGCCGCGUGUCUGAAGAAGGCCUUCGGGUUGUAAAGGACUUUUGUCAGGGAAGAAAAGGCUGUUGCUAAUAUCAAUAGCUGAUGACGGUACCUGAAGAAUAAGCACCGGCUAACUACGUGCCAGCAGCCGCGGUAAUACGUAGGGUGCGAGCGUUAAUCGGAAUUACUGGGCGUAAAGCGAGCGCAGACGGUUACUUAAGCAGGAUGUGAAAUCCCCAGGCUCAACCUGGGAACUGCGUUCUGAACUGGGUGACUAGAGUGUGUCAGAGGGAGGUAGAAUUCCACGUGUAGCAGUGAAAUGCGUAGAGAUGUGGAGGAAUACCGAUGGCGAAGGCAGCCUCCUGGGAUAACACUGACGUUCAUGCUCGAAAGCGUGGGUAGCNAACAGG
rnacentral:rRNA from 1 species